ensembl:lncRNA
CGACAGGUCGCCUUCGCGCCACUUUCGUAAUCCCUCAAUAAUAUCCGAAAUUACAGCCACGGAUUGAUUUCUUCUAAUUUAAACUCGGGUUAUGUAAUCUAUUUUCUGCUCAGCCCACGAUAAAAGUUGAUUAAGUAUUUGCUAGAUUUUACUCCCACAGUCGAAACAUUCAACGGUAAGUGCACGCAACUGAGCGAAGAUGGUGGAUUUCAGCGGAAGCAUUUCCAAGAUGUUUUGGGAGCAGACAUCAACACGUCAUGGAAGUUUUGUUUGCCACAAACCUUUUACCGUCUGGAAGACGACACUUGGGUACUGGUCAAGGCCGUCGAUUGUGGCUGUAUUGUCAAAGUGCUUACAGUGCAGGUAGUACCAUGGGAUACCUACUGCAGUGAAGGCACUUCUAGCAAUGCCCCUGACAUUAACACCCGCAGUGGACCCCCGCCUCGCAAGUGUCACUUCCCUUCGUCAGGUCUUUGUGCUAAGGUGCAUCUAGUGCAGAUAGUGAAAUAGACUAGCGCCUACUGCCCUAUGUGCCCCUUCUGGCAGAAGGGCCUGUGACCCGUCUGAAUUCGCAGUGCGAUAUGACUCCCCUCAUUUAAUUUUCUCGCAGUUCUCUGCUAGUUUUGCAUAGUUGCAUUACAAGUAAAAAUGAGUUGUGCAAAUCUAUGCAAAACUGAUGGAGGCCUGCUUGUUCUUCCACCUCUUGUCUGUUGUGGGGGGCUAUGUUGCCCUUAACCCGGAAGCGUCACCCGGGACUCCAAGCUGCUGUGCUCCUGCUCGCCUGCCUUUGUUUGGGGGACCCAGCAGUUGACCGGUUUCAGCAGUGCUAAAGUGCUUAUAGUGCAGGUAGUUGUUUCCCGAUCUACUGCAAUGUGAGCACUUAAAGUACUUCUAGCUGCGUUGCAGCGCCGUCGACUCGAACGGAAGACCCCUUGGAGCCAGCUCCGCCCAGCUGUUGCCAACCCCUGGUCAGUUUUGCUGGCUUGCAUCCCGCUUUAACAAAUGUUUGCUGUGCAAAUCCAUGCAAAACUGACUUGGCGCUGGGCACUCCGUCCGUUGGUGCCUGUUGCUUAGGCUCUGCAUGUCUUGAAUGUUUUUAGUACCCAUCUAUUCGUUUGGAUUUGUGAAGCGUUUACAUUGCUCCAUUCCAGUGGUCAGGGUUUGUUGGUUUGUUUUACCUGGAUGCUAAAUGGUGAUGGUUCUUUGGAUUUUCAUUGGUUCUAAUAUUUGUAUGGCAUUGCAGUGGUUCUGUGGAUGUCCCAGUCUGGGCCAGGUUGGGAAAGGUGUCAAUGCGGUGUAGUCUGAAGGUAUUGCACUUGUCCCGGCCUGCUUAAGACUGAGAUGAGGCAGCGGAUUACUUUGACCACAAAGUUAAAUUAAAAGAGUUAAGUUUCCAUCCAUGAUUGCUUUUCAGUGUACACAUGGUUUGUUUUUCAGUGGUAAAUGUCAACUUCCCCAUUUUGUUGGUAUAUAUGUUUGAAUGUUUGGCCCAUGUCGGUGUAAAUAAACAGCCAUA